CCUUGUACACACCGCCCGUCACACCAUGGGAGUGGGUUGCUCCAGAAGGCGUUAGUCUAACCGCAAAGGGGACGACGCCCACGGAGUGGUCCAUGACUGGGGUG
rnacentral:rRNA from 1 species